GGCUGUUAAAAAGGGGGCAACUGUUGUUUGAUGAUUGAAAUAUAAAAGUAUGACAUGUACUAUGUUAUAGAUUGUGUAUGAACUUAUGAUAUCUAUGAUGUUAUUGUUUCCAUAUGUCGUUUUUAUAAAUCCCACUGAGGUAAGUGAACGGUAAAUAGUUUGAUUAUUGAUGAAUAAAUUUACUUGAAACUUGUGCUCUAUUGGUUGUUUUUGGUUUUCUACCAACCUUUAGUUAUAUGAAAGUGAUAUAGUGUGAUAUCUUUUCUUAGCUAGUGUAGCUCAUUCCUUAUUUAACCAUUUCAAAUCAGGAGAACUUGGUUCGCGAGCCCGAUCUACAAGAAGACAGCGAGUAGUUACCUAGAUGUUUAUUAGUUUCUUUUAUAGUCUUUCAUUUCUAGUAUUUUCCUUAAGAGAACUUAUUUUUCGGUAUUGUUAAUAUGUUUAAGUUAUUGUGUAAGGGAUAUUAACCAGAACCUUUUAUUUCGCUUCCGCACUUAUAUUCUUUAUAUACAUUUCCUUUUUAAAUUUCUGGGGUCGUUACAGUUGGUAUCAGAGCCGCGUUCCUUGGACUAGUCCCUUAUACAAUAAUACUUAGAGAAAUAUCAAACCAAUGAAUCAUUACUCAACCCUUUCUUGUGAAAUACAUGUGCAGAGAAAUGAGGAGAGGAAGGCCCCCACUAAACCGAGAAGCCCGGGAUGGUUCGCUUCGGGAAGAUGUUGACAGAAUAUUUGAGAUACUGAAAAGACUCAUUGCUGCCCAGCAGGGUCGAGAGGAGAGAAGGGAGCUACCCGACCCUCCCCCGCUACCACAGGUUGAGCCACCACUGCAGCGGGAGUAUCCCGAGCCACCUCGGUACGAGCCUACUCCUCCACAGUACCACCCGAUACCACCGCCGCAGUAUAAUCCGGUGCCCUAACAACAGUACUGUCGGCACCGCUACAGUAUAAUCCAGUGCCCCCACCAUAUCAGCAAAU
rnacentral:lncRNA from 1 species